GAGGACACAGCAAGAGGGUGCUAUCUAUGAGGAACAGGCCUUCAUCAGACACCAAAUCUACUGGCACCUCCACCUUGAACUUUCCAGCCCCAAGAAGUUUUCUUUUCUAGUUUCGGCAUCAAAGUUAUUCCAGAAUCACAAAAUGAAAUGUGAAAUAUUCUCUUACAUUUUCUCUUCUGUUGGUCAGCUGGAAGAAAGCAGAUAUUAAAUCUUUCCUAUUUGUUUGAACUUGCAGGUUAUGUUUACAGGUGCUUUACAUUUACAGAUGUACAUGUACUACUCAUGUUUUCAUCAGGAGAACAGAAACACAUUAUAUAUUUCAAGAGGGAAUUUAACAUUGUCCCAUCUUUAUCAGCAGCAUGAAAAUGGACUAAUACACUGACAGUCCCAGGACUGGGAGUGAAUGAAACAGGAAAAAGCUGGUGAGACAGCAAGACCAACUCCACUUUUUCUUCCUCCUCCUCAACGAAUUCAACCUAAAGAUAGGGAUGAAGACCUUUAAGAUUAUCCACUUCCACUUAAUGAAUAGUAAAGGCCCAACACUGUGUGGAAGCUGCCAAGGCUUGGGGCAUGCACCCUCUGAAGCAAUGACCUGAGCUGUAUCUUGGCCUCUUUUAGCUACAGCUGGAGCUGGAGCAGCUGAGACCCAUGGUACUAUGUCCUGAGGCUGUAGAGAGCAGUGGGGCCCUGGGCCUGGCCCAGGAAUCCAUUUUUCCCUCUUAGGCCUCUGAGGGGCUGUGAUGGGAGGGGCUGUGAUGGGAGGGGCUGCUAUGAAGAUCUCUGAAAUGCCCUGGAGACAUUUGUCCCAUUGUCUUGGUUAUUAAUGUUGGAAUCCUCAUUAGUUAUGCACAUUUCUGCAGCUGGCUUGAAUUUUUCCCGCAGAAAAUGGGUUUUUCUUUUCCACCACAUGGUCAGCUGCAAAUUUUCCAAGUUUUUCAUUCUGCUUCACUUUUAAGCAUAAGGUCCAAUUUCAAACCAUCUCUUUGUGAAUGCAUAUGACUGUACACUUUCAGAACAAACCAGGUCACCUCUUGAAUGCUUUGCCACUUAGAAAUUUCUUCAUCCAGAUACCGUAACUCAUCUCUCUCAAAUUCAAAGUUUCACAGAUCUCUAGGGCAGGGGCAAAAUGCCACCAGUCUCUUGGCUAAAGCAUAGUAAGAAUGAUCUUUCCUCCAGUUCCCAGUAAGUUUCUCAUCUCCAUCUGAGACCACCGCAGCCUGGAUUUCGUUGUUCAUCUCAUACCAGCAUUUUGGUCAAAACCAUUCAAGUCUCUAGGAAAUUCUAAACUUUCUCACAUCUUCCUGUCUUCUUCUGAGCCAUCCAAACUGUUCCAACCUCUGCCUGUUAUCCAGUUCCAAAGCUGCUUCCACAUUUUCAGGUUAUUUUUAUAGCAGUGUCCCACUCCCAGUACCAAUUUCCUGUAUUAGUUCAUUUUCACACUGCUGUAAAGAACUACCUGAGACUGGACAAUUUAUAAAGGAGAAAGGUUUAAUUGACACAGUUCUGCAUGGCUGUGAAGGCUUCAGGAAACUUACAAUCAUGGCAGAAGGUGAAGGAGAAGCAAGUACCUUCUUCACAAGGCAGCAGGAGGGAGAGACAGUGAGGGAGGAACUGUCAAACACUUUCAAACCAUCAGAUCUCAUGAGAACUCAUUCACUAUCAUAAGAAUAGCAUGAGGGAAGCUAUCCCCAUGAUCCAAUCACCUCCCACCAGGUCCCUUUUGGGUGGGGACACAGAGCCAAACCAUAUCCAUAAGAAAAAAAUUAUUAAUUGAACUGCAUAAAUAUUUAGUAAGUGAAUUAAAUCUAUGCUUACAUAUUUAUGAAUUUAUUAUUAUAGAUAUUUGCUCCAAAAAUCAAUACCAAGUCUAGAAUUUGGUAAAAAAACUAAAAGACCCAAGCUCAGGGAGACCAGUGGCCUGCGGGCUAUGGAAUGACUUUUAUUGAAAUGCCUGAUUCUAUAGAUUAACGUUUGUGUGGCUCAGGUCAAGAUGCUUCAUCUCUCAGUGUCAAUAUGUUCUUUAAGAUGGGAAAUAUACUAAUGCCACCCAUUAAACAGGCCUAAUGUGGAGGCCUUUUUGACUACGUGGACUUCCUGAUCCUGUGCCAGGCAGCUGGUAAGGGGGCUAUCUGGCCUCUGUGUGCUCAUGUCCUCUUGGCGUUUCUGAAGCACUCAAAGGUUAGUGCAUCCAGGUUACCCUCAACCACAAGGCCCAAGGUUGAGAGAAAUACCCCAGUUUCCUCUGUCCUCAGUAAGACAAUUUCAAGUCAGGUCCACCCAGGUUUCUCACAGCCUCAUCAGUAGGAAGAGUUGAGCUUUUGUUGCCCACAGUGAUAAUUCCCUCAUUAACAUGCUCUUUUUUGGCGCUUUUCCUUCCCUUGGCUCAUGUCCACAUGCCCACACAUUGUUUCCUGGGUCACAUCCUAAAUAAAUACAUUUACAAAUCCAUGCCUCAAAGUCUGCUUUGCUAGGAACCAAACUUUGACAGCUAACCCACCUCAACUGAGUGCACAUCCUGGCGCAGGCUCGAAGCCCAGAGAAGGCUGGUUGCCACUGGAACACCCAGGAGCCCCUCACACUGUGCUUCGCCUACGUUGUGUGACUUCCGAGCCAUAGCAUGUGAGAACCUCCCAAGAAUUUAUCUGGAAGCUUUCUCAAUGAGUAAAAGUAAACAGAUUUGGGGUGGGGUCUUGCAUUUCCCAAAGCACACAGACAGAAUUCAUUGUAUUAAUAUAGCUUUUUAUUUUGAAUUUACUCAUACAGAGUGAAGAAAUACCUUAGAAAGAGAUAUUUCUGGUAAAAGGGGUGUGCUCUGACCUACAGGCUAAAGUGCCUCAACUGGAUUCACUUGUGUACAAAUUAGAGUAACUUGUCUUAACUGUAUUGAGGCGGGAAGAAGAAAAAGAAGACAAGAGGAAGGAAGGAAAUAAGAAAAAGCUGAAUUUAAAUC
rnacentral:lncRNA from 1 species